rnacentral:rRNA from 1 species
UACGUAGGGUGCAAGCGUUAAUCGGAAUUACUGGGCGUAAAGCGUGCGCAGGCGGUGAUGUAAGACAGUUGUGAAAUCCCCGGGCUCAACCUGGGAACUGCAUCUGUGACUGCAUCGCUGGAGUGCGGCAGAGGGGGAUGGAAUUCCGCGUGUAGCAGUGAAAUGCGUAGAUAUGCGGAGGAACACCGAUGGCGAAGGCAAUCCCCUGGGCCUGCACUGACGCUCAUGCACGAAAGCGUGGGGAGCAACAGG